GGAUGGUGAAGAAGGCUGGACUGAAUGCCACCGUCAAGCCCUUGGGAAAGCAGGAGAAUUAGUGAAGGGAGGUGGUAACACCAUGAGAGCUAGCAGUAUGUUUUGAGGUGCUGAGCAGGGAGAGGUUGGCCUGUCAAAUUCUCCAGGCUGGGUAGCUAGUUUGUGGUUGCCAUGGUGGAGAGGUUAAUCCAGCCAAGCCCCUUGCCCUCUCCCAGAGUUCCCCACAAUACCAGCCUCUCUUCCCCUUCCCAUCCCAGGACAUAGUGGAUUUUCUUUGAUGGAGAAAUGAUCAAGAAAUGAUGGCCUGUGGAGAAGGAUCCUCCAGGAAGCCAGCAACCUGCUAAGGAGCUGGUGGCUAAGGAGGAGCGUGUGAAAGAGAAAGCAGAGAAGAAACGACUCAAGAAGAAGCGUCAAAAGGAUCCGAAGCGAAGAGAGCACUUGGAGAAGGAUGGCAGGGAGUGCACCAAGAAUGUCUGCAGGCAGGUCCCAAGAGCACCAAGUGCCAGGAGGUGGGACUGGAAAAGCAGGCAGCGCAAGGUGAUCCCAACUCUAGCUAUUCACCUUCCCUUCAGGCUGAGGCCGUUGCAGAUGGUGCUGGGAGCCCCCCGUCCAGCUCUGGGAGCCCAGCUCAGGGACAGUGGAGCGAGGAAGAAGAAAGCGCCUCCUUCCUUCCCUUCAUGGUCUCUGCCCACCCUCUCCUCCCACUGCCGUAGGACACACGUCAUCCCUGCCCUUCCUUAACUUUCCUUUUUGCUCACAAGACUCACUGGGUCUAUCUGUUAAUAGUACCUCUGUGUCUCUGGCUUUCUGCAAGGUUAGAGAUUGACCCCUCAGUGCCCACAGAGAAAAGGGACUAAGUCAUUAGCCCCAAGGCAGAAGCCUGGGUCUCCAAGAAAAGAUGAACCAGGAGGAAGGAAGCACUCCAAAAGAAGAGAGACCUAGGCAGAGUCAUAAGGCAGAGGUGAGGAGGUGGGCAGAAGAACCUCAGCUAGAACCAGGGGAAGGAGUGCCAGAGGGCUUUGGGAAGAGAGGUGAUCUACUAACAGCUGAGGGCAGUGACUAGUAGAAGGAGUUCUCUGGCCCCGAGGUUAAGAGACCAGGGAUCGAGAUCCAUCACUGUCUCCCUGACCCAGGGUAGUUUCCUCUAUAGGAAAGUAGGGCUGAUGCGAUCUUGCAGACCUGUCAUGAGGACUCCAUGAGUUACAUGAUGCAAAGUGUUUGAACAAAGGAAAAGAUCUGGGGAGGCUGAGGCCUUGACUUUGCUUCCCAUCCCUAGGUUUUCUCCAGCUGGCAGCUGCCUUAUCACAGAACCAGGAGCUGGCAAGUGAGAUUCUCUCUCCUUCCUCACCCAUCCCUCCCUAGGAUAGCUCCAUCUAAACCUACCCACUCUCCCUUCUCCCCAGAGUUGGAUACCAGCUUUGCUCAAAAUGGUUUCUACCACAAGGCCAUGGUCCUCUUCACCCGAGUCUUGAAACUCAACCCCCAGGACCACUAGUAGGUGGAAGGGGUGGGUGGCCUCUGUGCUGAACUAUCAGAGCAAGGCUGGGUGCCAAGGACCCAGACUUUUGCCCGCUUUGUUUUUUAUCAGGUUAUUUUGAAAUUGCUCACUCUGCAAUGAACGGCUGGGUCAGCUGGUGUGAGCCCUGACUGAUGCAGCCCCUGGGGCCUCUUCCGCCUGGGCAAGGCCUUGAUGGGACUGCAGGUAAUGAGUCUGAGGUUGGAAGCAGAAGAGGAGUAUGGGUGGGACUGGGGGGGAUCAGGUGUACACUGACAGUUUCUAGUUGAGCUACUACCAAAAUGUCCUAGUGGUACUAGGAACUGGAGCCAGUUUGAGAAAAGGGAAGUUUUAACAUUCCUUGACUCUGCUGACACCUCAACCUUCCGCUUUCUAAUUCCUCUGGGACCAAACCAUUUUGAAGAGGCAGCGGUGUGUUCUGGAGACUCUGAGAGGCGGGUCCCAGCCUGAUGCAGUCUGGGAGCUAACAUUCCUGCCUCCUGCAAGUCGCCCUGGUAAGGGGCUCAAGCCUGCUCUUACGCGGAGGGGCCAACAGAGAGAACUGGCCGGGACUGCAAUAACAAGUGGUGCUACUUUCUGCCUCAAGCAGCUAAGGGGUACAGGACGCCCAGGACAGGCGGGCAUGGGCAGCACUGCUGGCGGGAGUGUUGGUGGCCCCUCCUCUCCUUUCUCAGCAGAACCAGCGAAGAGGGACCCCUGGACUGCCUCCAUCAACUGAAUUUCUCCACCCAUUUUUCCAUGUUGAGCCAGGCCUUUAAGCCUCUUCUGCAGUUGCCCUGGAAGUACUGCCCUAAGGGCCCCUGGCCUUCUGUCUCCACCCUUGCAUUAUCCCCAACCUGAGCCAGUCUGACUGAUCCUUCCCCCAGACUCAGAGCAGAAGACCCGGUCCUCUCCUCCAGGACUCCUCAAAGGGCUGGGGCAUCCUGGAACUUGGGCAGCAUCUACCUCACACCAGAUGAAGGAGAACCUGUCCCUAAUAAGGCAGGGCCGUGUGUGAUUCCCAAAGGGAUAAAGGACACGGUGUAGUAGCAGCUCACUGCACAUUGUAAGACCUGUACUCUAUAACCAUGGCUGGGAACAGCCCUGGCAGUCACACGUCUUGACACACAGAUCCUCUGAUGAGAGAAAGGAGCCCUGCAUCCACUGAAAUAGCCUUUCUUUGGUUCUUAAGCAGAUGGCUUCUUCUGGGAACAGUAAGGAAAAAUAAAAUCCCCCAAGGCUCAAGAAGGGAUCUGUACAAACAUUAGGGUUUUCAGACUAUGACAGACCUGUCUGUAGGGGCAUCUGAAGCCUGGGGAACUUCUUGGUCUUGGGGAACUCAUCAGCCAGAGCUCUGUGCUCAGGAAUGGGGUCACAGUGGUGAGUAAGGCCUAAGUCUGGAUCCUCAGCUUGAUGGAGGCCACUUCUUCCUAGUCCCAGUUCUCACCCUGUCCUCUCCAGCCUCAGUGCUCAUGCCUUGUUUCCUGUCCAUACUUCUCCGCAUAUUCUGACCUCUCCUUUGUCCAGUGGUUCUGAUGCUCACCUUCCACUGCCAGCAGAUUCACCAAGGGUAUGCAUUUGGGAAGCCCCUUGGCAGCCCCUUCCUGGAGCUGGCAGAAUCCAUACAUCUCCGUAUACCCCACCUGCUGUCUCUCCCAGUGAGGCAGCCUCAGCAGACACAAAGGCUUCUGCUACUUUGGUCAUACUCUUCCUCCACUCCAGGCUGGGCAUUGUAACUAGCAUUUUCCCCAUGUGAAUUUACUUAGUUUUUCUACCCAGGGUCACUGCCCCUAAAAAAACAAAAAUUCUCUAAUUUCUCUAUAAGAAACACAACCUCCUUCUAGUUUUUCCUCUAAGACCUUGACAGCUCCUCCUGGCUGGUUCCUCCCUGGCUCUGCUU
rnacentral:lncRNA from 1 species